rnacentral:rRNA from 1 species
UACGUAGGGGGCUAGCGUUGUCCGGAUUUAUUGGGCGUAAAGAGCGUGUAGGCGCCAGGUAGGUCUGCUGUGAAAACUCGAGGCUCAACCUCGAGACGUCGGCGGAAACCAUCUGGCUAGAGUCCGGAAGAGGAGAGUGGAAUUCCAGGUGUGAGCGGUGAAAUGCGUAGAUAUCUGGAGGAAUACCGGUGGCGAAGGCGGCAUCCUGGACCGAGAUUGAGCACUGAUGAGCGAAAGCCAGGGGAGCAAACGGG